UACGUCGGGGGCAAGCGUUGUCCGGAAUCAUUGGGCGUAAAGAGCGUGUAGGCGGCUCGAUAAGUCCGCUCUGAAAGCCCGGGGCUCAACCCCGGGAGGCGGGCGGAUACUGUCGAGCUAGAGUCCGGAAGAGGCGAGUGGAAUUCCUGGUGUAGCGGUGAAAUGCGCAGAUAUCAGGAGGAACACCAAUGGCGAAGGCAGCUCGCUGGGACGGUACUGACGCUGAGACGCGAAAGCGUGGGGAGCAAACAGG
rnacentral:rRNA from 1 species